rnacentral:rRNA from 1 species
CUGCAGACCCGGAGACGGUGCUUCUACAGGUGGUGUGUCGUGAAAACAUGUCUCAAAAUGACUCUCGGCAACGGAUAUCUCGGCUCUUGCAUCGAUGAAGAACGUAGCAAAAUGCGAUACUUGGUGUGAAUUGCAGAAUCCCGUGAACCAUCGAGUUUUUGAACG